AUUGAACGCUGGCGGCAGGCCUAACACAUGCAAGUCGAACGAGUGGCGGACUGGUGAGUAAUGUCUGGGCAACUGCCUGAUGGAGGGGGAUAACUACUGGAACCGGUAGCUAAUACCGCAUACCAUCGGAUGUGCCCAGAUGGGAGUAGCUAGUAGGUGGGGUAACGGCUCACCUAGGCGACGAUCCCUAGCUGGUCUGAGAGGCUGACCAGCCACACUGGAACUGAGACACGGUCCAGACUCCUACGGGAGGCAGCAGUGGGGAAUAUUGCACAAUGGGCGCAAGCCUGAUGCAGCCAUGCCGCGUGUAUGAAGAAGGCUUUCGGGUUGUAAAGUACUUUUAGCGGGGAGGCGUUACCCGCAGAGAAAGCAACGGCUAACUCCGUGCCAGCAGCCGCGGUAAUUC
rnacentral:rRNA from 1 species